UACGGAGGGUGCAAGCGUUGUUCGGAAUCAUUGGGCGUAAAGCGCGUGUAGGCGGUCUCCUAAGUCUGGUGUGAAAGCCCGGGGCUUACCCCCGGAAGUGCACUGGAUACUGGGAGACUGGAGUACCGGAGAGGAGGGUGGAAUUCCUGGUGUAGCGGUGAAAUGCGUAGAUAUCAGGAAGAACAUCGGUGGCGAAGGCGCUCUGCUGGACCAUAGCUGACACUCAGGGACGAAAGCUAGGGGAGCGAAUGGG
rnacentral:rRNA from 1 species